rnacentral:rRNA from 1 species
CUACGGGCCGCUGCAGUGGGGAAUAUUGCACAAUGGGCGCAAGCCUGAUGCAGCCAUGCCGCGUGUAUGAAGAAGGCCUUCGGGUUGUAAAGUACUUUCAGCGGGGAGGAAGGGAGUAAAGUUAAUACCUUUGCUCAUUGACGUUACCCGCAGAAGAAGCACCGGCUAAGUCCGUGCCAGCAGCCGCGGUAAUACGGAGGGUGCAAGCGUUAAUCGGAAUUACUGGGCGUAAAGCGCACGCAGGCGGUUUGUUAAGUCAGAUGUGAAAUCCCCGGGCUCAACCUGGGAACUGCAUCUGAACUGACAAGCUUGAGUCUCGUAGAGGGGGGUAGAAUUCCAGGUGUAGCGGUGAAAUGCGUAGAGAUCUGGAGGAAUACCGGUGGCGAAGGCGGCCCCCUGGACGAAGGCUGACGCCCAGGUGCGAAAGCGUGGGGAGCAAACAGGAUUAGAUACCCCCGUAGUC